AAGUGAUCUUCUGUGUUCUUUUGUCUCUAGUGGAACUAUCUUUACUUUGACAGUGUAAACUUAGGAGAGGAUUUUUUUCUGGGCUCAGCUUAACGAAAUAUAGGAAGCGAUGUCCUUCAUAUAAGCAUUUUGUUCCAUGGUGCCAUUGAAAUGGGUGCAAUUAUAUUAUCAUGCUCUAAAAUUAGACUUACCUUGUCAGUUAGGAAACAACAUCCUGAGUGGAAGAAUCUCUAUGUGCUUGGGAUCAGAAACUCAUCGGAACUGUCUCUCCCAUGGCGAGAAGACAUGGGUCUUGGGUGUUCCAUUGAAACUGGAAGAUGAGAGACUGCCAUCUGUCCAGUCUGGGCUACUCACACCAUUGAACCAGCAAAUCUAGAAGGGGUUACUCUAGUAGCCAGUGUGAUUGAUGCUGAGAAAGUUGGAUUGUUACCCACAGUGGGGACAAAUAAUAUGUCUGGAACCUAGGAGGUUCUCUGGGGGUUCCUCUUAGUACUUUCGUAGCCAGUAUGAAAAGUUAAUGAAGAACUAGAGUAACUAUAAAAGGCUGGAUCACAGAGUAUUUAGACCCUUCGAGAAGGUUCAGAUACCCACCAUGGAAAUACUCCCAGCUGGCCGAGGCCCCAGUUAGGGGCAAAGGAAACUUGGAAAGAAUAAUGAAAGAAGGAAGUUACAAAUUCCAUUACGGCCUCAUGUCCACUUAGGGUCACAGGAAAUACGCAUGUUGUUUCUUUGCUUGUUUUGUUUGUAUUAUCUGUUAUCUUCUUCUCUCUUCUUUCUUUCACUGUUUUAUACAAGUUUUGUUGGAGGAUAACUUUACAAAUUAGUAUUUGGUUAAAAGUCAAUUCAGAAAGGACCUUGGCUGAAUUCGAGGAGUAAUUGACAUAGUGCCCAGAUGGAUACAAAGACUCUCUGGACUUGUGUCUUCUCAUUUAAGGAAGAGUAUGAGAAUGUCUUCAUUUUUAGUAAGAAUAGUUGCAUCUUGUUAGGCUGAAACACAAAGUUGCUUUUAUCACUGUACAGAAGUUAAAAUAAUAGAAGGAUAUGCAUGGAUGCUGAGUACCCAAAGGUGUGGAUGGUGCCCGCUUCUUGAUAUUAUCUCUUAGCUCCAGACCUACCCCUUUACACUCAACUGAAUGUUGCUGGGCUAGGACUGUGCAAACCAUAUUUCUGUUCAGCUAGAUGGCUCCUGGUUAUGCUCUGCUGAUAAGGGGACACUAGAUGGGGGCUUGAGGCUAGAGGAGAUAAAGAGAGACUGCUCCUUCCUGGAUGCUUCUAGUUCCUGUGAAAAUGACCCUGGUUAUGCUUCUUCAGUUCCUAAGUGAGAGUGCCUUCCUGGAGCAGCAUGAGAGUCCUGCCUGCAGCAUUUGCAACAAUUGCAGAGCUCUCCUCAUCUACCCCUCAGGGAUAAAAGCACCUGAUGAGCCAUGCCUUUUUCUCAGGGGUCUCUGUUUCUUCUGCAGGGCUCCUCUCCAAGAUUCUAGAAAUUUAAAUUCUAAUCUUUAUUUCUCCCAGCCCUUGGGAUGGUAGCUGUUUCCUGCAGCUGCUACCUCUCUGAUACUUCAGUGUUCUCUCUCUGGCUUUUCAGUUAUCUAGGUAGAUGAGGUGUAUCAAGGAGAUGAUAUGGAAAUAUAAGUAGAGAUUUUCUGUCUGAAAAAUGAACUAAAACUCAUCUAUGGACCUGUUGGUCCUGUCAAUCUCCAUUUGCUGCAAAGGUACUAGCUGCCUGAGAUUACCAAUAAGCCUCUCUCACUGAGACGGAUGAAGCCAAUGUUUUCAUUGUUUACCUACCUAAAACAUUUUAUACUAUACUCUUUCUGCUGUCUGUUGACUGGACUCUGACUCUGAAAUAGUGAUUAAUAAAAUGGAGCUUGGUACAGAGAGAUCAGUUUCAAACAGGACAUUGUCAAUCUCAAAUUCGAAUCCCACCACCCAGGAUGUACUAACUCUUGCACGCACAGAUGAGCGAUGAGGUGUUUUUGUGAGAAUCCUCUCAAGUAAACGGUGGGGGAUGAUACCUGCUCUGGCCUAUUUGUAGGGUUGUGGGAGAAACAGAAUACAAUAGUGCAGUAAGCAAGGUUUGGUCAGUCUUAAAGAGCUGCACAGACUUCAGGGACUGGGAUCACAAAAGCUAAAGACAUUCUUUAAUGAAGACAUUGGCCUCAUCUGUCUUGCUGAGAGAUGCUUAUUGGUAACCUCAGGUAGCUGGCGCCCUUGCAACUAAUGGAAAUUGAGAGGACCAACAGGUCCAUAGAUGAGUCUCAGUUCUUUUUUUAGAUAGAAAAUCUCUACUCAUAUUUCCAAAUGAACCUUACCUCCUCCCAAUUGCUACUUCCAAAUGUUACCCAUGUUCUAUUUUAGUCUUGCCAGGUUAUGAUAAAUAUGUCAACAUGAUUAUUGUUGCUAUUUUACUUUUAUAUUUUUGAUUAAAUCUGGUCUUCUUAUGUCCUAAAGCAUGCUGAAUUGGCUUACUCUAGGGGCCUGGAUUCUAAUUCCAUUUCUGCUUCUUGCUACCUGUAAACCAGUUAUUUUACCCUUUCUGGGCUCUCUUCCCUUAUCUGCAGAUUGGAAAAAAUCAGUCUUGUCCUGUCUGUCUCACAGGGCUUUUAUACCCAUACAGAAGUGUUUUGCAGAUUCAAAGGUGCUCUCAGGGAUGUUACUACUGUUGUUGGUAGUGUUUAUGGUCAUGGGAAUUUAAGAUAGUUUAAAAAAGAUCCCGUAAGCAAGUGUCUGGAAAUAGCGCCUUAUGGAUUAGCAUUAAAAUUUGCUAUUUCAAAUCCUUUCCACUGCCGUACAUUAAAUAUAUACUGGUAAAAUAUGUGGUAUUGAAUUUCAAAAAAGCAUUAAUUUCUGGAACAAGAUCAGACUCUUCAGCAUAUUUCCAGGCAGUUUUGAUCCCAUGAAUUUGUCCUAAUACUGCAACCACUUGCUUGUGUCUGAAAGAGUGAUUACAUGUAAGAAACAUUCAUGCCUCAAGGAAGAAAAGACUGACAAAUGAACGCUCAAAGAUUCCAGAACCAGGAACAACUGAUUCCAAGGUUUUAAAUAUCAGAGACUUAUAUACUAGAGGGGACAUGCAUGCCAGAGCUGCGGAACAGUAGUGUGGAAAAUACCACAGCCCAAAUUAUUUCUUUAAUGGUCUCCAAAAUAAAUGGUUGCCAACCAAACCAUACUUGCCAU
rnacentral:lncRNA from 10 species